rnacentral:lncRNA from 1 species
CAUGAUUACAGAUUUUGUACAUUCAUUGAAUUUUUUGCAACUUGAUUUUUUGCCCCUAUAUAAUAUGUAACUGCAUUUGUAAAUAAAUAAUUCCUCGUUGUAAAAUUUAAGUGUAGGAUUUGAAUGUGUAUUCAGGCUCCGCAAAAUUUUUGAACCUGGCCUUGCAAAAGGUUACGCUGGCCCUGAAUGUCAUAAUACGAGUGAGGCAUUCUUCAAAAGAAAAGUAAUUUUUAAAAUUACAUUUUAAAAUUAAAAUUUAAAAAAAAAUUACAACAUAUAAAUAUCAUGUGUUAAUAUUCUAGAAUUUUAUUGACCUUUGACUAAUGGAAUGAUGUUGAGAUUGAACAGAAAUUGAUCUUUUUCCCAUUGCAAUGGCAAAUAGUCAGUCAAUAGAAUUGCAUUGUACUAUGAAUGAUCUGAUAGAACAGAAUCAUACAGAUAGAUACAAACAGAAUAGACUAGCCUUUAGCCUUUAUUCUCAAUAAAAUGUGAUACUCAGCAAUCAUUGAAAAAAAAUUAUAUAAAUUAUGAAAAUUUGAGUAGAAAUAAGAUAUAUA